rnacentral:rRNA from 1 species
GACGAACGCUGGUGGCGUGCCUAAUACAUGCAAGUCGAGCGGACCAAUAGAAGCUUGCUUCUGUUGGUUAGCGGCGGACGGGUGAGUAGCACGUGGGCAACCUGCCUGUAAGACUGGGAUAACUUCGGGAAACCGGAGCUAAUACCGGAUAAUUCAUCCCCUCGCAUGAGGGGAUGCUGAAAGUCGGUUUACGCUGACACUUACAGAUGGGCACGCGGCGCAUUAGCUGGUUGGUGAGGUAAUGGCUCACCAAGGCGACGAUGCGUAGCCGACCUGAGAGGGUGAUCGGCCACACUGGGACUGAGACACGGCCCAGACUCCUACGGGAGGCAGCAGUAGGGAAUCUUCCACAAUGGACGAAAGUCUGAUGGAGCAACGCCGCGUGAGCGAUGAAGGCCUUCGGGUCGUAAAGCUCUGUUGUUAGGGAAGAACAAGUAUCGGAGUAACUGCCGGUACCUUGACGGUACCUAACCAGAAAGCCACGGCUAACUACGUGCCAGCCGCCGCCGUAA